UUAACUAUUAUAUAGUACUCAGACAUCACUAACAUUCAGAGUUUGGUUCUCUGGCGGGCACACACGAGCAGAGCCCGCAGUGGAGGCCACGGCCCGCCAAAGCAACAAUAGUAUGUAAACACGGGUGGGUGUAAGCUCCUAAUCGCUGUUUCCAACGUUCGGUAGCCUCACUUGUAAUGAUCCUUCCGCAGGUUCACCUACGGAAA
rnacentral:misc_RNA from 1 species